ACCCCCACCCGUGUCGGCCCCGCGGCACUGCGGUUUCGCGUUCCUGGAUGCCCCGCACCAAGCCCGCCGCGAGGUCGCAGGGCAGAGACUGCCUUCAGCUUUUGGUCCUCCGUUCCCUUAGUCUCAAGCAUCACCACCCCCCGCCCCCCGCCUUUACCAUCUGGGUUUGGGUACUUCUGGGUGGAGAGCAGAACCCAAGCCUGUCCUUGCCGCCCUCCUCCCGGUUCUCCUCCAGCACUCCAGUCCCAGGUUUCGGAAGCCUGCGCGAAAACCGAGGGGGACGCGAGCAUCAAUAUUUCAUCCUUGCUUCGCCUGCCAGCAUCCCGCUCCCUCCUCCCUGCUUCUCACCGGCUCUAGGGCCCGGAGAGCUGGGCCACGCUGGCCUGACCCAGGGCGUCAUCACAGAUGUCCACGCUGCCUUCAGCUUGCCCGCCGUGCCAUCGUGGACUCCAGAGUCUGCGCAAGAAGCCGCCCUUCUGAGUAAGUGAGCUGGAGAGGCGGCGCCGGCAGAGGGGCCAGGCCUGGAGGGAGCGCCUGGCUCAGGGCCCCAUG
rnacentral:lncRNA from 1 species